CCGCUGUGUUAGUGUCAGGUGUUUGUGACUUCGUUUUGACACCCCUUUUUUGUAUGGAGUGCAGACGCGGUUCAGUAUUCCUAGUGUCGGUGGAGUGAAAGGAGGGAGUCACUCAGAUAAUGGAGAAAAGAGUGGCUUUGUAAGUGGAUUGAGUUUGUUUUUGGGUGAGUGAGGAGUGGUUAGCCCAGUGUCCGGCCCGCCAGUCAGGGGUCUCUCUCGGGGUCUGAGAGGAAGGGCUCGUUGCUGAAAAUUUCACCCUGUGAUGAGUACAGGGUGUGGGCUUGUGAGUUGUUCAGUGAGAAGACUGAUGUUGGAAAGUGUUGCAUGUUGCAGUAAUUGACACAAAAAGUACUAGAGAGCUCGACUCUGCCUCCGUAGUGAACCAAGGAGGUGUGUGUUGUCUUCACUGCUGCAAGAGUGUGGGAUGCGGUGAGCCGGCGCCAUGGAGGGAGCCAAGGAUAACAAGCUUCUGUCCAUGCAUCGCCUCAGCCCUACGCCCUUCUCUUCAGACGAAGGUGCGGAGAGCGGGGACGACAGCGAGGAGGACAUCGUCACCAACUACCUGCCGGGGACAACAGGGGCGGCCAUGGUUGGGAGGGAGGGGCCUGCUACGUCCCCCCAUCACCACCAUCACCAUCCCCAGCUUCUGCUUUUCAAUCAGCAGCAGCCCCAGCAGCAGCAGCACCAGCAGCAAACACAGAAGCAGAAGCAACAACUCAUGCAACACCAGCAACAACUUCACCAGCAGCCGCAGCCACCGCAGGUGGUGGCCAGUGUGCUGCCUCUCCACACCCACGCCCAGGGGCCGCCCCGCCGCCUGGUGCGUAUGGCGGAGAUCCCCACCAUGGAUUCCAUUACGGCGGAGAGCCUGGGUAUGGGCGUCAGUGUGGGGCCCUCGGAUGCCUUCAUCCCGCCCAUACCCACCAUCAGCAUCACGCCCCACUCCCCCAUCGCCCACAAGCCCUUCACGGUGCUUGACGAGAACAUCCGGCAGCUGCAGGGUAUCCAGGCCACUAUCCAGCGGAUGAGGGAGACCAACUUGGCAGUGAAGAGUGGGCGCGGCCUGAGUCGUCUCAGCACGUCGUGUCCUUCGCUCAACGUGGACGGGGAGGAGAUCGACGACGACGACUCUCCCACAUGUAAGUCCCCCACUGGUGGUGGUGUCGCCCUCCCUGGGCCGAGCACCGCCGGCAGCAGCGGUCACCACCACGCCCUCGCCCACCACCAGGCCAGGCGGGGCUCUGGCAGACUCUCCUCGCGUUCCGACGAUGGGGAAACCACCAGCCCUAACACUCCCAACACCCCCAACACCCCCAUCACCUCCAGCUCCCUGGACGAGCACCACCUGUGUCCCGACACCCCCAAGAUCCGUGUCAACGACUCAACCCCCACAGGUUCCGAGGAGUUCCUGGACGCGAGGAAGACCCGAGUAGGGAGCACCAGUGACUGCCACCGCCGCCGCUCCUGGUCAGGCCUGUCCGAUGAGGAGAAGAAGCGAGCCAAUAGACACAGAAGCAUCAGUCUGAGCAGCCUGGACUCGGACGCAGAGGAAGCCUUCUACGAUGCCGAGGACAACACCACCAACCAGGGGUUAGACAGCGUGGAUGGUGGGUGUCGCCGAGGUGUGGAGAAACAGAGAUCAAUGUCCGGGUCAUCCUCUCCGGUGACCUAUGGCGGCGGCGGCUCCUCCACUCACUCUCUCAACGAUGUCCACCUGCAGGAGAAGCGGAGCUCGGGUCCUAUCGAAAAACCAAGGCUGCUGUCGCCGCGACUCACACUCCAGAAGUCAGUGUCCACGCCCUCUAUUCUGGCAGGCAUAACAGCCCAGCCACCUCAGCAGCAGCCGCAAUCGAACUACCAAUACGAGGACACUAAGAGAAGAAAAAGAGGCUCUCUGUUCUUCAGGAAAAAGAAGGACAAACUUAAGAAGAGCUCACAUCACUUUGUGGCCGUCUGCUACAGCAAUUCAGCAACGUGUGACGUGUGCAGCAAGCCCAUGACCAACAAGCCCGCUCUUCGAUGUGAGACGUGUCAGGUGUGUGUGCAUGAGAACUCUUGCAAGGAUCAAAUCUCUGACUGCUCCAAACUGAAGAAUCCCAAGCAUAUCCAGUUGGCAGCAGGACUCACAACACUGGUGAUCCAGAAACCUGGGACUGCUGCAACACUUGGCACCACCACUAAAAGCUCCAGCCUGGGCUCCUAUGCAGGCUCAGGAGGCAGUGCUCCUCCAGGCACUACUGCCAAGACACAAGCACCUGCUGUUGCUAGAUCUCGCUCUUCAGCUGCCCAUUCCUCUCCCACACGUCCCACCAGUGUUGCAUCACCAAGUGGCUGCGUGUCCUGGCCUCCGCGGCCCGCUAACCCCCCGGCCCGCCCCAACAGUGGCUGUGUGUCCAGCCCCGUCCGUAGACUGUCCGGCUUCUCCCAGUGGAAGCGAGUGGCUACCAAGUUGGGAGUCAACAAGGUGCAGAGCGAGGAGAAGGAGGCGGAGCUACUUCCACAUGAAGCGCCGGAUGCCAAUAUUCUGGAGGUUAACUCUGCAUCUAUGGAAUCAUUAGAUGAAGGUGGCAAUGAAGAACCUGAUCUAGAUGACAUUGAUGCUGACCCAGAGCUGAGACUGCUGGACAAGGAGCCAGAGCUGUGGGUGCAUACUGUAGAGAAAGAAGUUGUGGAGCAGCUGAAAGAAAAAGAAGUUAAAAAACAAGAACAUAUAUAUGAGUUAAUCAUCACAGAAAAGCAUCAUUGUCGUAUGCUGAAAGUUAUGCAAAAAGUGUUUGCUGAAGGAAUGGCUCGUGAAUUGAACAUGCAAGAGUCAAGAAUCAAGAGAAUAUUCCCCUGUCUGGAUGAACUUAUAACAUUACAUUGUUCAUUUCUCUGGAGACUGAGACAAAGACAGAGAGGUUGCAAGUACAUAGAAACUAUUGGGGACCUCUUGGUCGAUCAGUUCACAGGUGAUAAUGCCAAGGGUCUCAAAGAUGCAUAUGGCCAGUUCUGCUCCCAGCAUCAGGAUGCUGUUUCUUAUUACAAGGAUAUGCUCAAAACUGAUCGCAGAUUCCAAGCUUUCAUUAGACAAAAAUCUGCCCAUCCACUCAUGAAGAAGAAAGGCAUCCCAGAGUGUAUAUUGUUCGUGACGCACAGAGUCACCAAAUAUCCACUGAUGCUUGAAGCACUAAUGAAGUAUAGCAAAGAUCAAGAGGAGGAACUUUGUACACUAAAAAAAGCUUUAGAUUUAGUAAAAGAAAUUCUUGUAAACAUCAAUGCUCAAGUUGCCGAAAAAGAAAGGGAACAAAGAUUACUAGAAAUAUACCAUAAAAUCGAUGCCAAGUCUUCUGCUAUAUAUAAGGAUCAGAAGUUCAAAAAAUCGGACUUUUUCUCAAGAAGUAGAAAGCUCAAGUUUGAAGGUUCAGCAAUGUUAAGUCAACAGAAAGGAAAGCCUAUUCAGGUACAAGUUGUGGUUCUCUCAGACUUGGUGUUCUUCCUCCUGGAAAAUAAUGGAAAAUAUUCCUUCUUUUCUCCAGACUCAAAGCAAGCUGGUGUCAUUCCUCUGGGAAAACUUAUUGUAAGGGAAAAGGCUGGUGAAGGAUCAAGAGUUAUCUACCUCAUUUACUCUAAAAAUUCAGCAGAAAUGUUUGAGUUUGAAUGCAGUCAUCCUAAGGAUAAGAAAAUAUGGAUUGAAUCAAUAAGAGAAGCAAUAGAACACCGCCCAGAUGAAGACGAGCUCGGGGAACAUCCUGGUGAAUACUCUAAGCUGCAGGAAGCCCACACAGAAAAAAUCAAAGACCUUACUGGUUUUCUACAACAUAAGGACAAAGAGCUAGCAAGAUUAUGUGAGGAGAGAAUGAGCAUAGUACUAGAACUUCUGGAGUUGCUGGGGUACGAUGACCUGCCACCCGCCCCUCAGUAUCGUGCCCUUUUGGAUGAAAAUCAGUUGGAUUAUAAUACUGCAAGAGAUCUGCAAAUUACAUCACUUACAGAAGCACUAAAGUUGGUUAGUGGUGCUUGUGGGUGGGGUACCAACCUUGCUCGGUCAGUCAGUUCAGUUGGAGAGCAUCAAAGUGAAGCUUACGUAUCGCCAAGCUUGCCAAAACGAGCUGAAACCUUUGGAGGUUUUGAUAACUCAACUGCAGCAGGUCAUUCUGGUAAACAAUCAGGUGGUAAGAAGAAGAAAGACAGCCGUUUGUCUCUUACUUCAGCAGGAACCACAGACAGUGAUAUUAUUGAGAGUCUCAAGAACCGGCGACCUUCAGGCAGUACUCUGACAGUCCGCAGUUCCCAAGAUAACUUGAGUAUUGCCUCUUCAGGUGACUCCAUUACUCAACAACAACAAGAUGUUGCAGCCAAACUUAUACAUUGGCUCCAUACCUCCCUGGUCCUGAGCCAGCACCACCUCACACAGUAUGAUGUACUGAGGUCGAAGGUAGUGAUUGGUGGCGCUUCAGUUGAUAGUCGAUUCCGACAUUCCCAAAAGCUAGAAGAGCUUAGGAAUAUUCAAGAACAAAUUAGCCAUGAACGAGCUCAAUGGACUAAAGAACGAGAUGCUCAAGAGAAAUGGAUAUCUGAAAAGAAAAUUGAAAUUCAGAAGAAACAAGAACAACUGCGCUGUGAAGAACAAGAUAUUCAGCAGCAACGAGAAACUCUAUACAGAAAAUUGGAGGCUUUAAAGGCCCAAGGAAUUAUCCUCAGCCCCACCCUUACUGUGCUGACUACCACUCCCCCUUCUCAAAUGGUUCAUGAUGAACACCAAGCAGGGCUGGGGAUCCUGCACCUUCCCAUUCCCAAGUGAUGAGAAGCCUUGGGUAUGGUGCUAAGGAGCUUGUUGGAGACUUGUUAGAUGAGUCGCAGCAGGAACUAAGCAGAACUCAAAUGUGCUUUUGAAAUCCAAGUGGGGUGGGGAGUGAUAGUGGGCCAACUCAGGGAUCCCCACACAGUUCACCUACUAGCACUGCAGCUCCAGCACGUCCCCGCACAGAUCACAAACACCGUAAUUCUUCAGCUUCACUCUCAAGUCUC
rnacentral:misc_RNA from 1 species